rnacentral:rRNA from 1 species
GUGGGGAAUCUUGGACAAUGGGGGCAACCCUGAUCCAGCGACGCCGCGUGGGUGACGAAGGCCUUCGGGUUGUAAAGCCCUUUUCCCGGGGACGAUGAUGACGGUACCCGGGGAAUCAGCACCGGCUAACUCCGUGCCAGCAGCCGCGGUAAGACGGAGGGUGCUAGCGUUGUUCGGAAUUACUGGGCGUAAAGGGCGCGUAGGCGGCUCUUUCAGUCGGGUGUGAAAGCCCGGGGCUCAACCCCGGAACGGCACCCGAGACGGGAGGGCUGGAGACCGGGAGAGGAGGGUGGAAUAGCCAGUGUAGAGGUGAAAUUCGUAGAUAUUGGCUGGAACACCGGUGGCGAAAGCGGCUCUCUGGCCCGGUUCUGACGCUGAGGCGCGAAAGCGUGGGGAGCAAACAGGAUUAGAAACCCCAGUAGUCC